GGGGACGUGCGUCUGGCACUUAGGAAAUGUGUCACGGCAGGAGACAGGCUUGGGAACCAGUCUCCUGGAGUGGAAGUUGGAGUGAGAAAAUGAGAAGGCCAAAGGCAAAGUGUGAGGGUAAAAGAUGCAAGAGCAGAAGAGGAUGAUCCAAGCAGGGGGAUGAAGCGGGAGGGAUGGAAAGAGAAUCGGGGAAAGCAGCGCCGAGGGAGGAGAGAACUUCCACCUGCUGGACAGCAGCGCCUGUGCCAUCGGCAACUGGCCACUUGCUUUAAAACGGAUGUGCAUCGAUGGAUUAGAACAUGAACUUAGGCAUUAAGACUAAAGAGAAAGGGGGUGUGUGGUUGUGGAGAACACAGUUAUUUAUUCUCAUUUUUCAAAGCUUUCUGCUCCGACAUUACAAAAGCAGAGAGAGAGAGAGAGAGAUGUCUUAGAGCUAUGGUCUGUGUGUGAGAAAAACAUAAGAAACUGUCAUCGUAAGCAUCAUUAUCAAUAAACAUUGAGGCCGCACAUAAUUGCAGAGCCGCUCCUUCUAUCUAGGAACUUCUAUUCUACUCCCAGAAAUAGAUCAGACACAUGAAGAAUGGCCAAAUGGAAACAAGUGUCGGAGGAGGGUAAGUGCCAGAGAAUGAUUUCAGCAAGAAGUUGCUCCAGGUUUCUGGGCUGGGGGCUGAUGGGAGGAGGCUUCCCAGAAAAAAAAAGAAUCCUGGGCUAUCGUUUGCAAAGGCAAAGGGAACACGCAGGCCGAGGCUCGAAGGAAGACGUGUACGUGGCAUUUUCAGGUCCUUGGCAUCGCACAGGGCCGGGAAAUGACAUCCACACUGGAGUUCCCAUCCAUGGCACCUUCGGGGACUGUUCAACCCAAUGGUUCAGUCCGUACCUAUGUCAAUACUAGACCUGGGCUGGGGAUGAGGCCAGAUAGGUGGGUGGGUGCCAUGAUGCGAAACACUUUUUGCAGGGCACCGUGAGGGCGUUUAUACUGAACGUGAGGCACACAGAGGGGGUUUCGAAUGGAGAUAUAAAAAGGAGAACUGCAUUAGAACGAUUCCUCCCGGGAGCAGGGCACAGGACGUCUUAGGAAAUCAAAACAAGAGAGAGGCGGAGAACCGGAAGAUUCUUGCAAAUGCCCAGAAUGCGGGUGGUGACGUGUUUGGGUCUAUGGCUGGAAUAUUAGGCUUGGGAAGUAAACGGGCAAUAGUUUAUAGGAUGUCUAAGGCCAACAACUCAAAACGGAGUCAGCAGGCAGGGAAAUUCAAAUUCAGCCAUUGUUUAUGGAGACAUAUGAUGGGUUUUGCUUUAGGAAUGCUGAUUUUGGCAAGUAGGCAGUCUAGUAAGAGACCUCUAGUUUGCAGUUAGAGAUACAAUACUGAAACCCGGUGUAGUGGCUUGGGCUGCAGGUGGAGGGCAGGCGGUGAAACGGUUACUUCAAACAAUGAAGAUUCAGAAAAAGAAAAGCGGAGUAGAGGCUGUCUUGUUGAAACUGAGUCCUGCUAAAACCGAGUGCCUCUGUGCAGUUUAUGGUUGACCUCUCUAUCCAAAAUGUUAUUCCUGGGAGUUCCCGUUGUAGUUCAGUGGUAAUGAACCUGACUAGUAUCCAUGAGGAUGCAGGUUUGAUCCCUGGCCUCGCUCAUUGGGUUAAUGGUCCGGUGUUGCCGUGAGCUGUGGCAUAGGUCACAGAUGAGGCUUGGCUCCUGCGUUGCUGUGGCUGUGGCUAUAGGCCAGCAGCUGUAGCUCUGAUUCGACCCCUAGCCUGGGAACCUCCAUGUGCCGCAGGUGCAGCCCUCAAAAGCAAAGAAAAAAACAAACCAAAACAAUGUGUUACUCCCUUUCUUGCCCAAAACAUGUUCCCCUCAAGAUUGAGGAGUAGCAAAGAAAACCUCUUGGAGUCCCCCAUCUCUUGCUCUUAGGAAAAAGGCUUCAGCCCCUUAGACCUUCCCUGAGUUCCAAAGAGCAGAUUCAAACAGUUACUGCCUAGGGCUGAGAGGGAACUCGGAAAGGAACAACAGGGCAGGGAUGGGGCCAGGUCCUCGGUCCCCCUCCCCGGAUGUGCCUAACAAUGUGAUACCUACCUCUGAGCUCUUCUCUAAGAACGAAGGCCCCCACCUAGGUGGUGGGAGGUAACUUUAGGCUGAGCUCAAGCAUGAGGACCCCAGAAUGGUUGGAACCAGAAGGCUGAUGGUUCCUAGAACACACCUUGGGACCUACCCACCUACUCAUCAGAAGGUUACACAGACCUCCCUCCUACUCAUCAAUGUUUUUUCUUUCUUCUUUUCUUUUUUCUUUUCAGGGCUGCACCUGAAGCAUACAUGGAAGUUCCCAGGCUAGGGGUUGAAUCAGAGCUGCAGCUUCUGGCCUACACCAGAACAGCAACACGGGAUCCAAGCCACAUCUGUGAACUGCACCACGGCUCACGGCAACACUGAAUCCUUAGGCCACUGAGCAAGGCCAGGGACCGAACCUGCAUCCUCAUGCAUGUUAGCUGGGUUCCUAACCUGCUGAGCCACAGUAGGAACGCCUCAAAAAUUUUGCCUAUAAAAACCUCCCUGAAACACAUCAAGGGGUUUGGGUGUUUUGAGUACAAGCCACCUGUUCUCCUUGCUUGGCCCCUGUGAUUAACCUUUCUCUGCUCCCCGACACACUUCAGUUUGUCGGGCCUCACGGGGCAUCGGACACGUGCACUUGGGUUUGCCAACACUCUGGUGCUGCUGUGUUUGAAAGUCAGAGAAAGAGGUGUCGCCAUGAGAGGUGGUGGCCCAAAGGGAAACAUCCAAAGAGUAGGAUGCACAGCGGAUAUACUUCAAGGGAGAGAGAGUUUGAAGUGGGGUUAAGUGGCCACACUGCCCAUAUGCCAAAGAGAAGUUCUCUUGAAUUCUCUGAUGUCCUCUGUCCUGGGAGCAGUUGUGGAACAGCGUUUGAGAGAGAAGACAAAGGGUCAGGGCUGCCGCUUGCUUCUUUCUGGAAGUGCCUUCUGGAGAUGGGAGAGGUGACCUUCAAGCCAGCUCCCUACAGAAAACUGCCCGCUCUGCUGUGAAGCACUCAGACACAAAGUCCUUGGCUCAGAGCUUCCAGGGAGCGAAGCAGAUGGCAGCUCUGUCAACUGCAGCUGCAAACAGCUUCAUCUUCAGUUUAUUUCCAGGAGCCAGAGGAGCUCAGGGAUAGUUAACAGCUGUCUACCUGUAGGGACUCAAAUGAUCGCUAGGCCAUCAAACCAUCAUCUACCAAACAGUGACUUAGCAAUUUAUCCCAAGGCUUCCUGGAGGCCUGAAAGAACUAUCCAAAGGCCUACUUCGUGUGCCCACCAAAGGGAUUUUUCUAGUAGAAAAGGAAGAGAUAUACCUUUUAAUCAAGACCUUCUCCAAACAAAAAGACUCUAUAAAGCAUGACUGUUGGUUGCUCUCUCUGAAAAUAAAUGCAAAUGUUCUAUUUGGAGGUUUGUUUUUUAGCAACCUCCCAGGGAAAUAUUUGUCCUUGUUGCUGUUAUUGUUGUUGUUGAAAUCUAUAGCCUAAUCCGGGGUUAAAAUGGAGAAUAUUAACCACCAGCUAGAGUCAUUGCCAAGCCCAAGCCCUGCCAGGCUAUUGCGGUGGUUUUUUUAAAUAAAUGUUGGAAGGCAGACAACUAGUGAUGGUGAGUAGUUGACAUAAUGUACAUGGUAUCCACUGAUGUCCCUUCAGACCAGACAUGGUGUUAGGUCAUUAGAUAGAAAACCCAGAGACAGCUUCGCUCUGGAACUCAUGUUUGAGUGGGAAGGAUUCUGGCAGGAGCUGGACUGAAAGUCACCCCUCCCCAUGCCUUGAAGUCCUUUCCAAAGAGAAGUCCUGACUCUUGGUAAUCCAUCUUGGCUACUACCCUGAAACUGCUCCAAGGAUGGGAGUGGGGAGGGUUCAUUACAGAAUUCAAGGCAUUUCCUCCCAACUGUGUUUACUCUUGAACCCUCAUGCUCAGCAACGGCAGUCAACAUCUUUACCAGUAUUUAUUGAAAUCAAUACAUGUUACGUGCUAGCAGGAUGCCGAGUACAUGGCACACACCUGUCUCAGUUGUACUUUUCUAUAUCAAACCAUCCCAACACAUAGUGGCUCAAAACAGCAAUGUUUUAACACUUAUCAUUCCAUUGGUUGGCAGGGCUCAGCUGGCUGGUCCUUUUGCUUUACCUGGUUUCAGCUGGGUCACAUCAAAUUCAGUGAGGAGGUCAACUAGGGUCAGAAGGCCCGAGGUGGUGUCAUUCCCAUGUCUGGCACCUCAUCUGGGGUGACUGAAAUAGGUGUGGGCUGGCUGGGUCUCUCUCUCUCUCUCUCACUCAGGGUAGUUGCCCCUCUUAAACUGUGGCUCUGGGCUCUAAGAGAGCAAAGAGGAAUCUUCUAGUUCUCUUAAGAGCUAGGCUGCAAACUGGCCCUCUGUCUAUUGAUGAAAGUGCGUCAAGUUCAAGCACAAUCCAAAUUCAAGGAGAGAGGAAACAGACCCCACCUCUUCCAGGAGGAGAGACGUGGGAGCAGUUGCGGAUGUGGCCAUCUCUGGAGAAAACCUGUAAAGCCCUAUAUGUUGGUUAUAUAAGUGAAAAUCAUCCCGUUUCCACAUACUUUCCAGUGGCCUAAAUGCAGGAGAUGAUGGAUUUUCUCAGGGUGCAAACCACAUUUAUUUUUUAUUGUUUUUUAUAGUUGUGAUUUUUUUUUUUCUUUUGAUGGAUGCAUCUGCAGCAUUCGGAAGUUCCCAGGCAAGGGGUGGAAUCAGAGCCUCGGCCGAGGCCUACACCACAGCUAUAGCAACACUGGACCCUAGCUGCAUCUGUGACCUAUGCUGGAUCCUUACCUCACUGACUGAGGCCAGGGAUCGAACCCACAACCUCAAGGACACUGUGUAGGCUCCUGCUGAGUCACAACAGGAACUCCCCAUCACUUCAAUUUUAAAACAAAGUUAAUAACACUCAAAAUCUCAAAUCGUCAUCAGCCGAAGGAGAACAACCAUAAUAAUCCCUUCUUUGGGGACUUUUUUUGAGGAGGAGGGAGCUAAGACUUACACAGUACUUAAAAAUUCCUUGGCACAAACUGAGACCUAAUGACAUUAGCCUCUCUGUUUCCAUCCCUCCCUUCACCAACCCGGCAUCAUCCAGGCAAUUUUAUCCUGAGCCAAAUCCCCUGGGUCCUCAGGCGCGUGAGUGGAGGAGCCGAGGGGAGCCCUGGCAGACCCGGGGCUUUGGAGCCCUGAGACAGCUGGAAAGGCAAAACAAAUCCAGAUUGCUGCUGUACAGAACAACAGUCCUCCGGAGGGCAAGUGGGUGCAGUUUUUGUUUUUUGCCUUUUAGGGCUGCACCUGCAGCAUAUGGAAGUUCCCAAGCUAGGGGUCCAAUUGGAGCUUUAGCCCCCCACCUCUGCCACAGUCACAGCAAUGCAGGAUCCAAAGUAUCUGCGACCUGCACCACAGCUCAUGGCAACACUGGAUCCUUAACCCACCGAGCAAGGCCAGGGAUCAAACCCGAGUCCUCAUGGAUACUAGUUGGGUUUCCUACCACUGAGCCAUGACAGGACCUCCAAGUGGGUAUGUUUUUGAAAUCAAUAUUUUACUCCUGGAAACUCUGAAGUAAAGCCCCUUUUCCUCCACCUGUGACAAUUUUUACAGAAGAUUUUACGCAUCUUUUUCCUCUAACUAAACAAAAAUUCCAUUGCCAGCAGUGUUGGAUGUGAACCUUGCCCACUUUGAAAAUUCUUGACGUAUGUUUUUAACAAUAAAACUUUAAAA
rnacentral:lncRNA from 1 species